CCCUUAGAUGUUCUGGGCUGCACGCGUGCUACAAUGGCGUUUCCAGCAAGUCUGCGAACCCGAGAGGGCCAGCGGAUCUUCGAAUUGGCGUCGUGAUCGGGACAGUCGAUUGCAAUUAUUUGACUCAAACGAGGAAUUCCUUGUAAUCGCGAUUCAUCAUAUCGCGCUGAAUACGUCCCUGCCCUUUGUACACACCGCCCGUCGCUCCUACCGAUUGAGCGAUCCGGUAAAUGUUUUGGGUUGGUGCCGGGGCGGCUAGCUGCCGGUCGCUACGAAAUUUUGUGAACCUUAUCGCUUAGAGGAAGGAAAAGUCGUAACA
rnacentral:rRNA from 1 species